GGCACGCUGGCUUGGGCUCUGAUUCUGGUUCCUUUGCUUUGGAAGUUUCUUUCUCUUUUCGGGGAAGAGAAAAGGAGUCUCUGGCCGCAUCCCCCGGAGGGAGGUUUCUGUCCGCACUGCUGGGGUGCGCAGAGGGGGAGUUUUCUUUCGCUUUUCCCCACCAGGGGGCUCUGGGUAUUGCUCAGGGAGGGGAAGCUCCUAGGGCUCUGCUCUCUCUGCUCAGCAGACCGGGGGUUGAGCUUCCUGGGUCAGAUGCAGCCGCUGCAGCUCCAUUGUGAGCGGAGCGACCUGCAUUAACCCGGCUCUGCCCGCACCAGCCCCUGAGCCGGAGCCUGCAGGCUGCAGAAUAACGUCCGGAUUGGGAAAUGGCUGCUGUGGAACCAGCUCAGCAGGACCAGGUGCAAUGGGCGAUUGCCACAGCUGGGAUGUGGGGCGAACCCCGUGCCUUGGUGGAAGGGCGUUGUGGGAUCCCCAUCCAG